rnacentral:rRNA from 1 species
AAAUUGAAGAGUUUGAUCAUGGCUCAGAUUGAACGCUGGCGGCAGGCCUAACACAUGCAAGUCGAACGGUAACAGGAAACAGCUUGCUGUUUCGCUGACGAGUGGCGGACGGGUGAGUAAUGUCUGGGAAACUGCCUGAUGGAGGGGGAUAACUACUGGAAACGGUAGCUAAUACCGCAUAACGUCGCAAGACCAAAGAGGGGGACCUUCGGGCCUCUUGCCAUCGGAUGUGCCCAGAUGGGAUUAGCUAGUAGGUGGGGUAACGGCUCACCUAGGCGACGAUCCCUAGCUGG